rnacentral:piRNA from 1 species
CCGGCGCGGACGGAAGCCUCAGG